CUACGGGCGGCUGCAGUGGGGAAUAUUGCACAAUGGGCGCAAGCCUGAUGCAGCCAUGCCGCGUGUAUGAAGAAGGCCUUCGGGUUGUAAAGUACUUUCAGCGGGGAGGAAGGGAGUAAAGUUAAUACCUUUGCUCAUUGACGUUACCCGCAGAAGAAGCACCGGCUAAGUCCGUGCCAGCAGCCGCGGUAAUACGGAGGGUGCAAGCGUUAAUCGGAAUUACUGGGCGUAAAGCGCACGCAGGCGGUUUGUUAAGUCAGAUGUGAAAUCCCCGGGCUCAACCUGGGAACUGCAUCUGAUACUGGCAAGCUUGAGUCUCGUAGAGGGGGGUAGAAUUCCAGGUGUAGCGGUGAAAUGCGUAGAGAUCUGGAGGAAUACCGGUGGCGAAGGCGGCCCCCUGGACGAAGACUGACGCUCAGGUGCGAAAGCGUGGGGAGCAAACAGGAUUAGAUACCCGCGUAGUC
rnacentral:rRNA from 1 species